UCUCUCACACUGUCUCUCUCCCUCUCUCUCUCUCACACACACACACACACACAAACUGUAAUUAGACACAGUCUCACACUCUCAACAUUGCCAUUCAUCCAAACAUAAGAGGAAAAGCUGUGCGUAAUGGAGAUGAGGCUAUUCCAAACCGGGUCGUAGAGCAGGAAAGUGUUGAGGAGCUUGGAUAAGGUGGAUCUUGUACAGGGGUGGACUCGCUUAGAAGGAUGGAGAUGAGGCUAUUCCAAAUCGGGUCGUAGAGCAGGAAAGCGUUGAGGAGCUUGGAGGCUCUGUCCUCUCUGGAGCUAGAGGUUUAGGAGACGAUUCAACUUCUCCCAAGUGAAGGCAACGACUUCUCCACUCCGGUGAGGCUUUACACAAACGACAAUGGAAAGAGAAAGUGUUAGUGCUUCUGGUUUGUUUGGCUUAUGUAUGGAUGCCGAGAAAAUGCGGUAUUUUCUUAGUGGUUGGGGCUUAAUUUUUUGUUGAGUUUCUUUUUGCAAGAGUUUGUUUCCAAAGAAAGUGCAAAGAGAAAGUGUAAAAGAUAAGAAAAUUGAGAUUGAAAAUGAUUUUUUAUUUGGGCUGUUAGUCACAUUAAU